AGGACGAACGCUGGCGGCGUGCUUAACACAUGCAAGUCGAGCGGAAAGGCCCUUCGGGGUACUCGAGCGGCGAACGGGUGAGUAACACGUGAGUAAUCUGCCCCUAGCUCUGGGAUAGCUCCGGGAAACCGGGAUUAAUACCGGAUACGACCACUUUAGACAUCUGUUGUGGUGGAAAGAAUUUUGGCUAGGGAUGAGCUCGCGGCCUAUCAGCUUGUUGGUGGGGUAACGGCCCACCAAGGCGACGACGGAUA
rnacentral:rRNA from 1 species